GGACUGGUUGCAGUAUACGACAAAAGAAGCUUUCCUACAUUUGGGUAAUCUUGGUUUUUGUCCCCAGGCCAUGUUGGCAUGACACACAAUGAUCUCCAUACGGCCACCAGAGGGAGUGUCGCACACAGUUUCUCCCUGCUGAAGCAAAUGGAGGUGCUGUUACAGAGAAGCAUCUGUGAUGCCAUCAGCCGCAUCUUGCUUGGGUGGACUGAACAAUUCUGGCUUCAAUUUGGGGGGGGCGGGGCAGGUGUUCACUUUUUGUCUGAGUGUCCCAAAACCACACCCACCUGGUCCAAGAGAAAUGCUUAUCAAGAGCCAGAGCACAGCAAGUGAUCACCUUGAUAUCCUUUGAGCUGCUGUUGGGGUUUUUUUAAGCUUUCUGGGGAUGUGAAUUAGAUGCGUCCCAAUGUGUCUCUGUGCACUGGAAGAUCUCUCCACCUGUGAGCAUCUUGAAAUCCGGAUUGGCCUCUUGGUAGAGUGAGAGGGUGAAAAGAGUGGGAUUUGGUGUCAAGAAUGCUUGAAAUGUCAACAAUGUUUUGUGUGGCUUAUAAGGCCUUGUCUAAAUACCAAUGUGCAAUGCUUUAACUAGACUGGUAUAUCUAAUGGUGGCCGGCCUCCCCUAGUGGGGAUGUAAUUAUUCUGAUACAAAUGGUAUCGCUGGGAAUAUGGGAAGGGGGAUAGCUAUGCUGGUAUCAGGCAUCUUUUUGCCAGUAUAAUUGUACCCGUAGUACUGUAAAUCUCAAAACCCCUUAGCUGAAAUAAUUAUACGGGGUGUAGACCAGGCCUCAUUUUAGCAUGGAAGGGGCUAUAACAGUUAUCUUUUGCUGGAGUCCUCAUAGCGGUAUAUGAACCAUUAAGCCUCACAACAGGAGGUUAAGUGUUAUCCAGAUGUAUGAGAAGAUCUGACCGAAUAGAAGAGGCGGAUAGCUUGCGGCCCAGAGCGCAGGUUCUGUUGCAAGCGUUGCCAACUCCAUUCUACUGAGUCUUGUGGUGUCUGGUGGCUUCUCUUAAAGCCCCAGCCCUUGUGAUUAUAUGAGAAUCUGAGAUCGAUAUGACAGUAUCCUGCAAGUCUCCUGGACAAACCUUAUGGAGUUAAUAAUUUUGGGGCCCAUUGUAUUAAAAAUGCAAUUGUUUGUGUUGUGGAAUUGUAUGUAACUUCACUAGGAGGCCUGAGGAACGCAAUCUCCAGGAGCAUUUAGGGACUUGAAAGGACUUUUGGGGACGAUAUGUACAAAGUGAAUUUCCCAGGCAAUACUUGGGGUGAAGGGAAUGCAAAUAACCCAUCUCUGAGUCCAUCCUUCUGUAGCUGAACCUGGAGCAGAGAUCCAUUGUCCACCUGAUUAACAAUCCACAGUCGCUCCAAAGACCCCAAUGGAAUGGAUGAAUGUCUCCCAAACUCCCAAGCAUUUUUGUUCUGAGCUAAGGGUGUCACAAACUACAAAACCCCGCAGAGGGGUUUUCAUGUGGUUUCAAGGACUGCCAGAGCCAGGGUGAUCUCUGGUAAGCUCAUUAGCAUACAUGUGGGUUCUUUAUUGGUUAAUGUUUUUUUUUUCUCUGUAAUGCUUUUACCUUAGGAAUAAAAUUAUGCUUGCU